rnacentral:rRNA from 1 species
GUGUCAGCAGCCGCGGUAACACGGACUGCGCGAACGUUAUUCGGAAUCACUGGGCUUAAAGCGUCCGUAGGCGGCUCUGCAGGUGGGGUGUGAAAUCCCUCGGCUCAACCGAGGAAUUGCGCUCCAAACCACAGAGCUUGAGGGAGAUAGAGGUGAGCGGAACUCACGGUGGAGCGGUGAAAUGCGUUGAUAUCGUGAGGAACACCGGUGGCGAAAGCGGCUCACUGGGUCUCUUCUGACGCUGAGGGACGAAAGCUAGGGGAGCGAACGGGAUUAGAUACCCCGGUAGUCCUAGCUGUAAACGAUGAGCACUAGAUCGGGGAGACCUCCACAUCUUCCUGGUCGUAGCGAAAGUGUUAAGUGCUCCGCCUGGGGAGUAUGGUCGCAAGGCUGAA